rnacentral:rRNA from 1 species
AACGAACGCUGGCGGCAGGCCUAACACAUGCAAGUCGAGCGCGCCCUUCGGGGUUAGCGGCGGACGGGGGAGUAACGCGGGGGAACGUGCCCUUUUCUACGGAAUAGCCUCGGGAAACUGAGAGUAAUACCACAUACGCCCUUAGGGGGUAAGAGUUAUCGGAAAAGGAUCGGCCCGCGUUAGAUUAGGUGGUUGGUGGGGUAAUAGCCUACCAAGCCGACGAUCCAUAGCUGGUUGGAGAGGAUGAUCAUCCAGGCUAGGAAUGCGACCCGGACCACAAUGCGACGGGAGGCAGCAGUGGAGAAUCUUAGACGAUGGGGGCUACCGUGAUCAAGCCAUGCCGGGUGAGUGAUGAAUGCCUUAGGGUUGUAAAGCCCUUUCAGCUGGGAAGAUAAUGACGGUACCGGCAGAAGAAGCCCCGGCUAACUACGUG